GUAGGAUGAAGAGGUUGUCGCUUAAAGAUUUUUUGAGAGGAAAGUCCGGGCUCUGAAAGGGAGAGAUGCUGGAUAACGUCCAGCGAGGGUAACCUUAGGGAAAGUGCCACAGAAAAUAUACCGCCUUCGGGUAAGGUUGAAAUGGUGCGGUAAGAGCGCACCGCUUCGCUGGUGACAGCGAAGGCAGGGCAAACCCCAUCUAGAGCAAGGUUAAAAAAGAUAAUUGCAUUCCCUUAUGCUUAUUAUCGUGGUGAACCGCACAAGCGUUUUAGUAAUAAAGCGUGAAGAUGAAUGGCAACUGAAACAAAACCCGGCUUACCUUUGUCCUACGCUG
rnacentral:RNase_P_RNA from 1 species